CUUGACGACCAUAGAGCAUUGGAACCACCUGAUCCCAUCCCGAACUCAGCAGUGAAACGAUGC
rnacentral:rRNA from 1 species